rnacentral:rRNA from 1 species
UUAAGUUAGAAAGGGCGCACGGUGGAUGCCUUGACACUAGGAGUCGAUGAAGGACGGGACUAACGCCGAUAUGCUUCGGGGAGCUGUAAGUAAGCUUUGAUCCGAAGAUUUCCGAAUGGGGAAACCCACCAUACGUAAUGGUAUGGUAUCCUUAUCUGAAUACAUAGGGUAAGGAAGACAGACCCAGGGAACUGAAACAUCUAAGUACCUGGAGGAAGAGAAAGCAAAUGCGAUUUCCUGAGUAGCGGCGAGCGAAACGGAACAUAGCCCAAACCAAGAGGCUUGCCUCUUGGGGUUGUAGGACAUUCUAUACGGAGUUACAAAGGAACGAGGUAGACGAAGCGACCUGGAAAGGUCCGUCGUAGAGGGUAACAACCCCGUAGUCGAAACUUCGUUCUCUCUUGAAUGUAUCCUGAGUACGGCGGAACACGUGAAAUUCCGUCGGAAUCUGGGAGGACCAUCUCCCAAGGCUAAAUACUCCCUAGUGAUCGAUAGUGAACCAGUACCGUGAGGGAAAGGUGAAAAGCACCCCGGAAGGGGAGUGAAAGAGAUCCUGAAACCGUGUGCCUACAAAUAGUCAGAGCCCGUUAACGGGUGAUGGCGUGCCUUUUGUAGAAUGAACCGGCGAGUUACGAUCCCGUGCGAGGUUAAGCUGAAGAGGCGGAGCCGCAGCGAAAGCGAGUCUGAAUAGGGCGUUUAGUACGUGGUCGUAGACCCGAAACCAGGUGAUCUACCCAUGUCCAGGGUGAAGUUCAGGUAACACUGAAUGGAGGCCCGAACCCACGCACGUUGAAAAGUGCGGGGAUGAGGUGUGGGUAGCGGAGAAAUUCCAAUCGAACCUGGAGAUAGCUGGUUCUCCCCGAAAUAGCUUUAGGGCUAGCCUUAAGUGUAAGAGUCUUGGAGGUAGAGCACUGAUUGGACUAGGGGUCCUCAUCGGAUUACCGAAUUCAGUCAAACUCCGAAUGCCAAUGACUUAUCCUUAGGAGUCAGACUGCGAGUGAUAAGAUCCGUAGUCAAAAGGGAAACAGCCCAGACCGCCAGCUAAGGUCCCAAAGUGUGUAUUAAGUGGAAAAGGAUGUGGAGUUGCUUAGACAACUAGGAUGUUGGCUUAGAAGCAGCCACCAUUUAAAGAGUGCGUAAUAGCUCACUAGUCGAGUGACUCUGCGCCGAAAAUGUACCGGGGCUAAAUACACCACCGAAGCUGCGGAUUGAUACCGAAUGGUAUCAGUGGUAGGGGAGCGUUCUAAGGACAGUGAAGUCAGACCGGAAGGACUGGUGGAGUGCUUAGAAGUGAGAAUGCCGGUAUGAGUAGCGAAAGACGGGUGAGAAUCCCGUCCACCGAAUGCCUAAGGUUUCCUGAGGAAGGCUCGUCCGCUCAGGGUUAGUCAGGACCUAAGCCGAGGCCGACAGGCGUAGGCGAUGGACAACAGGUUGAUAUUCCUGUACCACCUCUUUAUCGUUUGAGCAAUGGAGGGACGCAGAAGGAUAGAAGAAGCGUGCGAUUGGUUGUGCACGUCCAAGCAGUUAGGCUGAUAAGUAGGCAAAUCCGCUUAUCAUAAAGGCUGAGCUGUGAUGGGGAAGCUCCUUAUGGAGCGAAGUCUUUGAUUCCCCGCUGCCAAGAAAAGCUUCUAGCGAGAUAAAAGGUGCCUGUACCGCAAACCGACACAGGUAGGCGAGGAGAGAAUCCUAAGGUGUGCGAGAGAACUCUGGUUAAGGAACUCGGCAAAAUGACCCCGUAACUUCGGGAGAAGGGGUGCUUUCUUAACGGAAAGCCGCAGUGAAUAGGCCCAAGCGACUGUUUAGCAAAAACACAGCUCUCUGCGAAGCCGUAAGGCGAAGUAUAGGGGGUGACACCUGCCCGGUGCUGGAAGGUUAAGGAGAGGGGUUAGCGUAAGCGAAGCUCUGAACUGAAGCCCCAGUAAACGGCGGCCGUAACUAUAACGGUCCUAAGGUAGCGAAAUUCCUUGUCGGGUAAGUUCCGACCCGCACGAAAGGUGUAACGAUUUGGGCACUGUCUCAACCAGAGACUCGGUGAAAUUAUAGUACCUGUGAAGAUGCAGGUUACCCGCGACAGGACGGAAAGACCCCGUGGAGCUUUACUGUAGCCUGAUAUUGAAUUUUGGUACAGUUUGUACAGGAUAGGCGGGAGCCAUUGAAACCGGAGCGCUAGCUUCGGUGGAGGCGCUGGUGGGAUACCGCCCUGACUGUAUUGAAAUUCUAACCUACGGGUCUUAUCGACCCGGGAGACAGUGUCAGGUGGGCAGUUUGACUGGGGCGGUCGCCUCCUAAAGUGUAACGGAGGCGCCCAAAGGUUCCCUCAGAAUGGUUGGAAAUCAUUCGUAGAGUGCAAAGGCAUAAGGGAGCUUGACUGCGAGACCUACAAGUCGAGCAG